AAGGGGCCAUGUGACAAGGAAUGCAGGCCGACUCCAGGAGCUCAGAACGACCCCUGGUGGACAGCCAGCAGAGAUACCAGACUUCAGUCCUACCACUGUAAGAGCACUGAACUCUGCCAACAAACAGGGAGUUUGGAAGCGAUCCCCGAGCCAUAUGAGACCCAGUCCCAUCUGACACCUUGAUUUUAUCUCUGUAGGACCCUGAAUAGAGGACCCAGUUAUGUUGCAGUCAGACUUUAGACCUCCAGAACUAUGAGCUGAUAAGUGGGUGUUUUAAGCCGCUAUAUUUGUAAUUUGUUAUGAAGUCAUAGGAAACUGAUACAGAUGGUCAUUUCAAAGAAAAGAACCACAUGACAAAAGGCUCAGAGGCAUUGAGAAGCAGAGAACUACGUCAUACGUAGAACUAAAGACAUCUGGCAUAUAGCUGGACCAUGGGGAGCAAAGGAAGAUGUACUCAUGAGAACUUGGCUGUGGAUCAGAGAGAAUGUGCCCUUGGGCUAGCUAACUUCGCUUUCUGUGCCUCAGUUUUCCCAAAGGUAUGGAAGCUAAUCUUUGAAGACACACGUAAUCAGCAAAAUGGUGAUUGUUGAAGGACAAGUGUUGCCUGACGUGCUAAUUUCUAGGUUGAAAAGAAACAUCAUUUUUGCAACAAUGAAAUUGUGAUCUGCCCUUCCUUGCAGUGUUAAGACGCUUCCCCCAACUCCUCCUCCCU
rnacentral:lncRNA from 1 species